GUGGACAUAUAGCUUAAGGGGCAAUAGGCCUUGACUCAAAGUUAAGGUCGUGGGUUCAAUUCCCAGUGUUCACA